rnacentral:rRNA from 1 species
GAUGAACGCUGGCGGCGUGCCUAAUACAUGCAAGUCGAGCGAACGGACGAGAAGCUUGCUUCUCUGAUGUUAGCGGCGGACGGGUGAGUAACACGUGGAUAACCUACCUAUAAGACUGGGAUAACUUCGGGAAACCGGAGCUAAUACCGGAUAAUAUUUUGAACCGCAUGGUUCAAAAGUGAAAGACGGUCUUGCUGUCACUUAUAGAUGGAUCCGCGCUGCAUUAGCUAGUUGGUAAGGUAACGGCUUACCAAGGCAACGAUGCAUAGCCGACCUGAGAGGGUGAUCGGCCACACUGGAACUGAGACACGGUCCAGACUCCUACGGGAGGCAGCAGUAGGGAAUCUUCCGCAAUGGGCGAAAGCCUGACGGAGCAACGCCGCGUGAGUGAUGAAGGUCUUCGGAUCGUAAAACUCUGUUAUUAGGGAAGAACAUAUGUGUAAGUAACUGUGCACAUCUUGACGGUACCUAAUCAGAAAGCCACGGCUAACUACGUGCCAGCAGCCGCGGUAAUACGUAGGUGGCAAGCGUUAUCCGGAAUUAUUGGGCGUAAAGCGCGCGUAGGCGGUUUUUUAAGUCUGAUGUGAAAGCCCACGGCUCAACCGUGGAGGGUCAUUGGAAACUGGAAAACUUGAGUGCAGAAGAGGAAAGUGGAAUUCCAUGUGUAGCGGUGAAAUGCGCAGAGAUAUGGAGGAACACCAGUGGCGAAGGCGACUUUCUGGUCUGUAACUGACGCUGAUGUGCGAAAGCGUGGGGAUCAAACAGGAUUAGAUACCCUGGUAGUCCACGCCGUAAACGAUGAGUGCUAAGUGUUAGGGGGUUUCCGCCCCUUAGUGCUGCAGCUAACGCAUUAAGCACUCCGCCUGGGGAGUACGACCGCAAGGUUGAAACUCAAAGGAAUUGACGGGGACCCGCACAAGCGGUGGAGCAUGUGGUUUAAUUCGAAGCCACGCGAAGAACCUUACCAAAUCUUGACAUCCUUUGACAACUCUAGAGAUAGAGCCUUCCCCUUCGGGGGACAAAGUGACAGGUGGUGCAUGGUUGUCGUCAGCUCGUGUCGUGAGAUGUUGGGUUAAGUCCCGCAACGAGCGCAACCCUUAAGCUUAGUUGCCAUCAUUAAGUUGGGCACUCUAAGUUGACUGCCGGUGACAAACCGGAGGAAGGUGGGGAUGACGUCAAAUCAUCAUGCCCCUUAUGAUUUGGGCUACACACGUGCUACAAUGGACAAUACAAAGGGCAGCGAAACCGCGAGGUCAAGCAAAUCCCAUAAAGUUGUUCUCAGUUCGGAUUGUAGUCUGCAACUCGACUACAUGAAGCUGGAAUCGCUAGUAAUCGUAGAUCAGCAUGCUACGGUGAAUACGAACCCGGGUC